rnacentral:rRNA from 1 species
GAUUCCCCUAGUAACUGCGAGUGAAGCGGGAAAAGCUCAAAUUUAAAAUCUGGUAGUCUUUGGCUGCCCGAAUUGUAGUCUAGAGAAGCGUCUUCCGCGCUGGACCGUGUACAAGUCUCUUGGAACAGAGCGUCGUAGAGGGUGAGAAUCCCGUCUUUGACACGGACUACCAGUGCUUUGUGAUGCGCUCUCAAAGAGUCGAGUUGUUUGGGAAUGCAGCUCAAAAUGGGUGGUAAAUUCCAUCUAAAGCUAAAUAUUGGCGAGAGACCGAUAGCGAACAAGUACCGUGAGGGAAAGAUGAAAAGCACUUUGGAAAGAGAGUUAAACAGUACGUGAAAUUGCUGAAAGGGAAACGCUUGAAGUCAGUCGCGUCGUCCAGAACUCAACCUGGCUUUUGCUUGGUGCACUUUCUGAACGACGGGCCAACAUCAGUUUUGACUGUCGGAAAAAGUCCUUAGGAAUGUGGCACCUCCGGGUGUGUUAUAGCCUUUGGUCGUAUACGAUGGUUGGGACUGAGGACCGCAGCACGCCUUAUGGCCGGGGUUCGCCCACGUACGUGCUUAGGAUGUUGGCGUAAUGGCUUUAA